AUUGAACGCUGGCGGCAUGCCUAACACAUGCAAGUCGAACGGCAGCACAGUAAAGAUUUCGGUCUUUAUGGGUGGCGAGUGGCGGACGGGUGAGUAAUGCGUAGGAAUCUGUCCUGGAGAGUAGGAUAACCCGAGGAAACUCGGGCUAAUACUGCAUGAUAUCGAGAGAUCAAAGGCAGGGGACCCUUCGGGGCCUUGCGCUCUAGGAUGAGCCUACGUCGGAUUAGCUAGUUGGUGGGGUAAAGGCCUACCAAGGCGACGAUCCGUAGCUGGUCUGAGAGAAUGACCAGCCACACUGGGACUGAGACACGGCCCAGACUCCUACGGGAGGCAGCAGUGGGGAAUCUUGGACAAUGGGGGAAACCCUGAUCCAGCGAUGCCGCGUGUGUGAAGAAGGCCUUCGGGUUGUAAAGCACUUUAGUUGGGGAAGAAAAGUAAUGAGUGAAUAACUGAUUGCUCUGACGGUACCCAAAGAAUAAGCACCGGCUAACUCUGUGCCAGCAGCCGCGGUAA
rnacentral:rRNA from 1 species